ensembl:lncRNA
CAGACACUGGGCUUGACUGCGGCUGAGGGUCUGCUUCCAGAGUGGUUCAUUCACGGGCCUAGCAAGUCGGUGCUGGUUGUUGGCAGAGGCCUCAGUUCCUUCCCACACUGAUAUCUCCAAAAGACUGUGGGAGGGUCCAACGGCUGCUGGUUUCCCCCAGAGGGCACAACAGAAGCAUUUCCAGAGAGGCGUGAAGGGAUGUUGGAUGAUGUGGAGAUAGAGAUAAGAAGAAACAGGAACCAAGGAGAGAAGGAGCAGUUCCAUGAUGUACACCCCCUCCCUGUACUUGCUCCAAGGAUUUGAAGGGCCAGAGCAGGCAGUGAUCCACUCCCAGCUGUGCUGCAGCUCAGGCCAGACGAAGAGUACUAAGGUGCCUUCAAAUACCACCGGCAGGAGCAGGAAAGACCAGACAGUAGAAUGGCCAAAAAGAGAAGGGGCCAGAGGAGAGGCAGAGUUUCGUGGACCACCCAGCAGAAGAGGACAUAACCAGGGAUGGGAAAGGAGACAUUGGAAUACCUGGCUCCUAAGUUUAGAAACAGCACUGGCUGAAACUUGCUUCUUUGGAAACAAACCAGGCCCCAUUCCAGGAGGAUUUUCACGUGGAAGGUGAAUGGACACCAACCAGAGACUAGAGACAUUGAGAACAGGGACCCCCCUGUGUUGCUCCGUAUCCUGAGUGAGAGGGCAAGUGUGCUUUUAAGUGUGGGAUAUUUGAAUUCUUUUGUGUGAGGUUUCUUUGAAACUGUGCAUUUCCACUCACGAAACAAAUGGUGCCAUAGAAUGCCUGGCACUAAGGUAUAUAAACGAUUUACUGAAACCUUGACAUUUGUGCUAUCUCACAACAUAUAUACUUCAAGGCGAUACUAGAGCAUUGUAAUAAAGUG